CCGAUUGAAAAUUGACCACGCGGUGCGGUCGCGUCGCGGUUUUUAGCCAAAAUUUCAAAAU
ensembl:ncRNA T27A1.8 ncRNA